rnacentral:lncRNA from 1 species
ACUCCUUAAUAAGAUGAAUCCGUGUCACCAACAAUAAGUCAUGCUGCCUCUGCUUCCUGUCGCCUCCUGACAGGUCUCUGGUGCCAUCCCGUUCUUCUCUGCAGACAAUUAUUGUGAUAACCGCAUCCAGGCCAUCAAAGAAACAGCUCAGCGAUUGUCAUGACAACCUGAAGAGAGGACACGCUGUACAGCCACCCAGAGCGGGGACAGAGGGUCCCUGUGACAGGAAGAUAGCAUAAGACAAAGGACACAGAUGGAGCUCAGUAACCCAGUAUGAGGCGAACCACCGAUACAUGCGUGUUGUUGGCGAAGAUUCCUUCAUCACGCAUCCUUCUACCUGUAUCUACUUCAGCAAAACAUCAUUUGGCGUAACCGACUUUCCCAAUAAACCAGAAGUUUCCACUUCAAUCAUCUCUCUGCUGCCCCACAGACCUGGUAGCUCGCCCGUUACCUGUGGUCAGCUUGACAACAAACCAAGGUUACCUGGGAACCUCAACUGAAGAGCUGCAUGCAAGUCUGUGCGGGCCGUCUCUUGAACGACAGUUGGUGGAAGGAACUCACAGUGGGCCAUGCAACCCCUGCAACAGGUUGUCCUACGAUGCAUGAUAAAGCAAGCGGAGUGAGCCACGGAGAAA